rnacentral:rRNA from 1 species
AACGAACGCUGGCGGCAUGCCUAAUACAUGCAAGUCGAACGAGAUCUUCGGAUCUAGUGGCGCACGGGUGCGUAACGCGUGGGAAUCUGCCCCUGGGUUCGGAAUAACGUCGGGAAACUGACGCUAAUACCGGAUGAUGACGUAAGUCCAAAGAUUUAUCGCCCAAGGAUGAGCCCGCGUAGGAUUAGCUAGUUGGUGAGGUAAAGGCUCACCAAGGCGACGAUCCUUAGCUGGUCUGAGAGGAUGAUCAGCCACACUGGGACUGAGACACGGCCCAGACUCCUAGGGGAAGCAGCAGUAGGGAAUAUUGGACAAUGGGCGCAAGCCUGAUCCAGCAAUGCCGCGUGAGUGAUGAAGGCCUUAGGGUUGUAAAGCUCUUUUACCCCGGAUGAUAAUGACAGUACCGGGAGAAUAAGCCCAGGCUAACUCCGUGCCAGCAGCCGCCGCUG